ensembl:lncRNA
AAAAACAAUAGCAACAGCUUGGCAAAAUAAAAGAUCCCUGGAGCCUUAUAAAAAAAUAGAUCAUAGAUUGUAAAGUGACUGUACAUUUCUGCUUGAUAUAUUUAGCUUAUUUCAGCCUGAAAUAUUGAAAUGUAAAUAAAUAGUAUUGACAUGCUGAGGUCAGUUGGUUAAGCCGUCUAGCCACAGCUGUAAGCAUCAUCCAUAGUGCAUUUUUCAGACAUUUCAUAACCGGGAAAACCGAUUUGGCCCUGAGACUCCGUGGUCCCUGUGACAACCGCGUGGGAACCGAGGUGGAUGGCAGCCAAGCACACACAUCUGGAAGGAUCCAUCCCAGAGGUCAAAGGUUAAUGGCAAACACUCUGAGAGCCUGGCAAAAGGCCAGGGAAACCAGGGUUUCAUUCAAAAUACUUAUCCUCUUUGUCACCAUGGUGAUUGGCACUCAUUUGUCAUAACUUUAAUAACUGUAUUUAUUAAAUUAAAACAAGCACUAGUGGUUGGACAUGCCAUUUUUUGGAGCUUUCAGAUUCCUGAUGUGUUAUAUCUUAUAUUUUAUUUUGAAAUGACACAUUGUAUUUGGAAACCUAUUAAUGUGGAAUAAGCUUUCCAAUAUCACAAGGCUCAUGAGCCCGAUGUUAUACUGCUGAAGUGAAUCACAUCUUCUAGGAAUGGACAUCAAUCUGUCCUCAAAUCCUUACAUCAAUAUAAUUUCCUCCUUGAAAUAACGAUAAAGAAAUCUUCCAGGUGUAGGGAAGGAAAAUGAAGAAUCUCAUGCCUGCAUUUUUCUUAAACCAUUUAGGAAAUGGUCUCAUGUCAGUUAUGGUAUAAAUCUAUUCUCUCCAAGGAUUUUCUUUUUUUAAUGAUUCCACUCAUCUAUUUGAGAUUUGAUCCCCUCACUUUUAAAAUUCUAUGUGCCUGUAUUAAUUGAUGUAAGAAAUUUGGUCACAGCCAUGACUUUGUAUGAUGUCUACUGUACAGCAGAAAGAAUGGUAUUGUUUAUCAAACAUGUAUUUAUCAGAUAAAUGACGAUGACCAUCGCGUUAUCCUUAUGCCGUUUGAAUGUUAUGUAGGCAUUUUCUUUAUCGGGCUGUUCUGCCGGGCCCAUGUCCCAUUUUGUUCAAUAAAAUGGGCAAUGAUAUCCAUAUGUUCCAUGUUCUAGGGACUCAAGGUUGAAGAUAAGCUUUAUCCCCUCCCAAGAGUUUAUUGAGGCCGCUGCCAUCACAGAGCCCAUCCCUCCACCUCAAGCACCUCUUCUGAAUUGGUAGCCCUAAGCCACCCAAUCCCCAGGAAGAUAGAAAGAUUAACCAUCGACUGAUGGUUUAAAAUUGUUGAUGCCUUUUUGUAAUGUGCAAUAUUAUUUCCAUUAAAUCACUGGUUCUUGUUUGUAUGAUAUUUAUUAGGGGUGUGCAUCACCAUCUCUUCUUUACAGGACGAUCCAAUACGUAUCUAGAUACAUGUGCUACGAUACGGUUCAGGGACGAUACAUUUUACACUUUUUCUCAGUCGCUUUGGUACAUUUCUCAGAUCAGAAUUGAAAUUGGCAAAACAGUAAGUGCAUUUCUCAAAACAAUUCGUACAAAUAGCAAAACUCCAUUGAUUUCAUGUAAAAGCAAGUCUCUUGCUCAAAAUCCUUUGUUCGUUUCUCAAAAGUAAAUAUCUGUGUCAAUGAACAUGUCAGUGCCAUCAAAAUGACAAGUCCUUGUGUCAUUGUGUAUGGAUAAGACAGUCAAAUUGCUUAGUCAUGUUGUGAAUAUAACAGUGGGAUGUUCUGAUGUAAACCAUGGCUAAAGUUUUGAAGACAAUUAUUGUCAAUUGUAAGUUACACCUUAGUGUAUGUGGGAGAUUGAUUGCAAGAGACAGAACAAGAUUCACAUUUACGCUUUGACUGUUUGUACUGUAAUUUGUUGACAGACCAUGUCAUUGCUAGAAAUGUGAACAUAGGAAAAUCUUCUUAUGGUAAACUGUACAUGCAUUGCUGUAGGAAUAACAGUGCAGUCAUCCACUCCUGACGUUCUUGUCUGUUGGGCCACAAAUUCUCAGACAAUGUUACAUUGUGUUAUGCUCCAGCUAUAUACUUUAUAUACUUGCCAGUUCAUGGUUCAGGAGAUGCACCUUUGAACUAUUCCAGUAAACUGGUUGAUCGUUGGUUGAUCUAACACUUCACACAUUUCCCUUCUUUAGAGAAAGUCAAGAUUCACCUGGUAGCAAUUUACCAAUUCAGGACAGAUUUAGAAAAAAAGUCUGAUGGAAAUGUUUAGAAAUAUGCUUGAAAUAUUAUGACAACAUGUUCAACCAUUUUGCAUGUAAAGAUUUAUGCAAUGAACUAAUGCCUAAAUGUUUUUGGGGUGAGACUAUUCAAUGGAGACCCAUUACAAUACAUUUUGAUCAACAUGACGUAAGCAAUGUUGAAUUCUCAUUCAAAGAAAUGAGAAACUGCUUUUUGGAUGUGCACAAACGACAGAAUGAUGUGAAGAUUGAACAGGUUGUUUUGAGAAUUUCAAUUCUGAUCUGAGAAAUGUACCAAAGCGACUGAGAAAAACUGUUCCAAUUGGAUGGCAACCGGAUACCGUGGAUGGCUUACUACCUCAAGUUCUAUGUUUAUUCUGGUUUCAUAUAUUAUGUUGAUCUUGUAUAAUGUUUGAUCCAAAAUAAAGUUUCUGCAGUUUCUAACAGAUUGUGAGCAUGAAUAAUGUUGUUAUCUAAUCAUACCGUGCUUUUCCAUGUGGGUAAGGUUGCAUUCCUAAGACAUUCGAACUAUAAAGGAAAAUUUCAGAGAUGGA